rnacentral:rRNA from 2 species
GUUGAAGACGACGACGUUGAUAGGCCGGGUGUGUAAGCGCAGCGAUGCGUUGAGCUAACCGGUACUAAUGAACCGUGAGGCUUAACCUUA